CCUACGGGUGGCAGCAGUGAGGAAUAUUGGUCAAUGGACGAGAGCCUGAACCAGCCAAGUCGCGUGAAGGAUGAAGGCUCUAUGGGUUGUAAACUUCUUUUAUAUGGGAAUAAAGUGAGGCACGUGUUCCUUUUUGCAUGUACUUUAUGAAUAAGGAUCGGCUAACUCCGUGCCAGCAGCCGCGGUAAUACGGAGGAUGCGAGCGUUAUCCGGAUUUAUUGGGUUUAAAGGGUGCGUAGAUGGUUUGUUAAGUCAGUGGUGAAAGUUUGAGGCUCAACCGUAAAAUUGCAAUUGAUACUGGCAGACUUGAGUACAGUUGAGGUAGGCGGAAUGCGUGGUGUAGCGGUGAAAUGCGUAGAUAUCACGAAGAACCCCGAUUGCGAAGGCAGCUUACUAAACUGUGACUGACAUUGAUGCACGAAAGUGUGGGGAUCAAACAGGAUUAGAUACCCGAGUAGUC
rnacentral:rRNA from 1 species